UACAGAGGUCUCAAGCGUUUGUUCGGAUUCAUUGGGCGUAAAGGGUGCGUAGGCGGCGCGGUAAGUCGGGUGUGAAAUCUCGGAGCUUAACUCCGAAACUGCAUUCGAUACUGCCGUGCUUGAGGACUGGAGAGGAGACUGGAAUUUACGGUGUAGCGGUGAAAUGCGUAGAUAUCGUAAGGAAGACCAGUGGCGAAGGCGGGUCUCUGGACAGUUCCUGACGCUGAGGCACGAAGGUCAGGGGGAGCAAAACGGGG
rnacentral:rRNA from 1 species